rnacentral:rRNA from 1 species
UACAGAGGUCUCAAGCGUUGUUCGGAUUCAUUGGGCGUAAAGGGUGCGUAGGCGGCGCGGUAAGUCGGGUGUGAAAUCUCGGAGCUUAACUCCGAAACUGCAUUCGAUACUGCCGUGCUUGAGGACUGGAGAGGAGACUGGAAUUUACGGUGUAGCGGUGAAAUGCGUAGAUAUCGUAAGGAAGACCAGUGGCGAAGGCGGGUCUCUGGACAGUUCCUGACGCUGAGGCACGAAGACCAGGGGAGCAAACGGG